UACGUAGGGUGCAAGCGUUAAUCGGAAUUACUGGGCGUAAAGCGUGCGCAGGCGGUUCGCUAAGACAGAUGUGAAAUCCCCGGGCUUAACCUGGGAACUGCAUUUGUGACUGGCGGGCUAGAGUAUGGCAGAGGGGGGUAGAAUUCCACGUGUAGCAGUGAAAUGCGUAGAGAUGUGGAGGAACACCGAUGGCGAAGGCAGCCCCCUGGGUCAAGACUGACGCUCAUGCACGAAAGCGUGGGGAGCAAACAGG
rnacentral:rRNA from 1 species